GGGGAGGAGCAGCAGCAGGGCAAGGCGGCGACGAGUGGGCGCCCGCCCUCCCCGUCUGCGAGCUGAUCCCCGGGCACGGCGGCGGCUCCCGAGCCCUCCUGCUCCGACCCCGCGGAGUGCUCGAGUCUGGAGGGGCAGCAGACGGUGGUGGGCGCUUGCGCCGCCGCCAUCUCCUUCGUCCUUCCCGCCCGACCCCCGACGCUCACUUCCCCGGGCGUCGUCGCCGUCGUCCACAACCACCGCCACCGCGCCCCCACCCUCUCCCCAUCGCUGCAGGGCCCCACCUUCUCCCAAUCCCCUCACCCUUCUCUCCCGUGGCCAGUGGAUUCGCCCCUCACGGGAUCGAUUCUUGUGUUUGUAUUUGUUGGAUUGCUUGCUUAUGUCUAAUGAAGAGAGUAUAUGUCCUGCCGUUAUUCUGAUUUAGUUCCUUAGGUUAAUAUAAUUUUAUUGUGGUUUUUUUACAGAUGUUUCAUUUUACCUAGGGAUAAAAAGUGCAAUAUAAAGGUUCAUUAAACAAACUGAACUUAUAUAUGAUCAUUUAGGUGCUGAAUUUGUCUAUCUGAACUUUAUUGGUACUGAAAUUAUCUCAUAUAAAGUAAGUGAUUCAUUUCCCCUCGAGUGGAUAAACAUAUAGUGGAAGAAGGGCUUCUAUGUCGUACCCAUGCCUUCAUAUUUAGUUCCAUGCUAAAGGAUCACUAAAUCUCGGCUCCUCCAUUGUUUUUCUUAUCAAACUAGAGGGCUUCAUAAAUAUUGUAUAUAUGUCUUACCAAGACAUUUUCUAAGUAACAUAGUGAGGCAUGCAUUUGAUCCUUGGGGAGAAGCUAACCUGAAUUGCAUAUUGGUUAUGUGAGAAGUGCCCUCUCUCCCUCUCUCAUGGUGUGUUUCUUCCUCCUUUGUGUGUUUUCUUAAAUAGGGGGAGGGGGCGUCGAUAUGCCAAGCAGGAAGAAAGCUGGAUCCGGAUGCAAGGGGCAGGCGGACAGACAAUAAGUGCCCUCUCUCGCAUGGUGUGUUUCUUCCUCCUCUGUGUGUUUUCUUAAAUAGGGGGAGGGGUUGUCGAUAUGCCAAGCAGGAAGAAAGCUGGAUCCGGAUGCAAGGGGCAGGCGGACAGACAAUAAGGUGUGUGCCGACUACACAACUGUAGUAUACAACUGCCAACCUUUUUUGUUUUAGUGAGAUAUUUUUUUGUGAUGUUUCCUCUAGACACAAACCAUAAUUGUUUCGAAUAUAACUACCAUUUUUUAUUUCUUGGGAGUGUAUUUCUGUGCAAGGGGGGAUUUAAUUUGAUAGUCCAUGUCAGCAGUUGCCAUGUUUUUUAACCGUUUUGACCAUAUUAACCAUUGAGUGGUUGUCAGAUUAAUCAUACCUUGUUGUCAUGUGUUUUUUCGUAUGACCUUGCCAUGUUUAUAAACCCGUAGUUGCUUGGCAUUUGGAAUUGGGAAUUUUGGUCACUUCUAUAGAUCCUGGUAGGACCUACCAUUUUGGUCACUUUUAUAGAUCCUGGUUGUGCUCAAAUUUACACGGGGUGGCUAUCUCUCUUCUAUACAUUGUUGUCUCCUUAGGAAAUUGAAAAGCUUCUCUUGGUCACCCCAUAUUCAGCAGCUCAAAAACACAUGUUGGUAGCAUGCUUGGCGCAAUGCAAAAAUCAGUGUUGUGUGAAAUAUUCAGUCUGUAUUUCUGCUAAUGGAGUUUUAGGAUAGUUCUGAGUUUUGUAAUCCUAGAGAUUGUUCUUCAUUCUUCUUGCAGGUGUAAUUUAUAUUGUAUGAUGCAUUGUCAAAGAGUACCGUUGUGAUAAUUUAACUGAAAAUAUGAGUUUAUAAGCUCAAAUUGUUCCGGUUCAGUUUAUAAGAAUUAUUUAGGAUCUCUGCUACUGCGAUUUUCAUGAUCCAAUUAUAGUUUAUAAGCUCAAACUGUUCCUGUUCCUGAUCCAAAUUGUGCUGGAGUACUCUCUGCCUCUUGAGUGCAGGAAAAUGCCUCAAUUAAUUAGUUUGUCGCUCCGUUAGUCGCCAUGGUCAGAUGAUGCUUCAGGUUUGCACUUCACAUUGAGGUAUAGAAGGUAAAACUUGAAUAUAGCCUCCUGCAACAUUAUAAGAUUACUUUGUGGUACAAAAUAUCAUGCAUUGUCUUACACAUAAUCGUUGGCCAUUCUAAAAAUAUGGAUUCUACAUUGAAUUUGUCUUGGACUUCUUAAUUUAACCUCUGUGCAUGUUCUUAUGACAUUGAAUUUGAGCGAGCGAGCGAGAGGAGUACAUUACUUAUUCCACUUCUAAGCUACGCUUGUGCCCCUGUUCCUACGAAGUGUAUGGACGUGCCUAUAACUAAACAUAAAAAUAGGAUAGACACUAAAUCCUUUGAAGGAGCAGAGAUUGUAACUACACAGAAGUACACUGGACUAACAAUAUGUUUACUACCAUUUUUUCGUGAAUAGAGUAGUGACAAUAAGAUUGUUACUUGAUGUACAGAGUCACAGUAUAUGAGUUGUAUUUGACCUUUUAUAUGAUCUCACCUUUACUAUUCCCAGUCAUCGUAUGUUUUGCCGGAUUAUUUUAACGCAAUUUUGUUUCUCAGAGCACUGGUAGCAACCACAUCAUGAAAGGGUCGACGAACGACGAUCCGAUAUGCGUUGCCGAGAGUGAAGCUCAUGGGUUGGCUCCCUCUUCCCCAUCGGACCUGGCAGGAGGAUGAGCGCCCUUCCCCGCGACCUGCCGCACACCCCCUGUCGCCGUGCCACCGCCGUCGCCCUGACCCCCAUCCUCGACCUCACGCUGCCCAGCGUCUCCUCCCUACCCCCUUGGCACUCGGUAGGAGGAGUGCAGGAAGCUCGUGGGUCACCUCCCUCCUCCUCUGUAUGCUUGGGCUCACGCAGACACACUAUGUAACAGCCUAACAGGUUGGUCCUUGAGCCCCGCAAUCUGUUCGAUGUUUUGUGCACUAGGGAGUGGGCUCACAGGCUGAUGCAGCUUAAGUAAUUUGCGUCCAUGAUUAAGUGUUCAGGCACUGGGUUAAUUCCUUCUGGUCUCAUGUGCAGAGUUGUUACUGGUGGAAUGAAUGAUUUGGUUUAGUAUGGUGGUGCACAGAAUUGUUGAUAUUGGAGUCAGUUACCUUUACAUGCUUAAACACUCUGUUAAUUGUCUGCAGUACAGAAUUUGCAUGUUGUUGCAACAAAUGGUUUGGUUUAGAGUUUUCAUAUAGUGUGAAGAAGAUCAAUAGUAAGUGGAAUGGAUCAGUCUGUUAAGUUUUAUCCAAUGUUGUUCUUGGCCUAAACGAUUUGGUCCAGUCCUGUAAGAGAGCAAUAGCAUCCGGAUCCAAAGUAAUUAGUCGUGACGUUUGUUGGCAUAAU